UACGGGGGGGGCAAGCGUUGUUCGGAAUUACUGGGCGUAAAGGGCUCGUAGGCGGCCAACUAAGUCCGACGUGAAAUCCCCAGGCUCAACCUGGGAACUGCGUCGGAUACUGGAUGGCUUGAAUUCGGGAGAGGGAUGCAGAAUUCCAGGUGUAGCGGUGAAAUGCGUAGAUAUCUGGAGGAAUACCGGUGGCGAAGGCGGCAUCCUGGACCGACAUUGACGCUGAGGAGCGAAAGCAUGGGGAGCGAACAGG
rnacentral:rRNA from 1 species